CUGGAAGUAAGGGAGGGAAGAUCUGGUUCAUCAGCUUAUCUUGUGGAACUGCAUCUUGAGAGCCAGGAACUCACAGAUGUGCCAAGCAUAGCCUGAAGCAGUGCUGAUAAUAGUUAAGUCAAUGUCAGCUGUAYGAAAGACAGUCUUCUGAAAACCUUGUUGGUACACCACCUGCUCACUGACUAGAUACCAGUGAGAAGUCAGCUUGCAAAAUACUCAGGCUAGAAUAGUAAAGGAGAUGGAAGAGGAGGCCGGUGAACUUGCUGCUAUGGCGCAGAGUGUUUUCUAGGAAACAUGGAGCCUUGGAAGUUUUGGCUGGUUUGGAAACUACUAACAGCUACAGCAAGGACUUAAAUUAACCAAGAGAAGGUGAUGCUGGCAGAGACUGAAAUGGAUGAAUUCUCACUAGAUAUGACUUCUGAAAGAGACCACGUUACUCUCAAGGAUGGAAUCUGGGACUCCAGCUACUUCGGUGACAGCCAAUGAACAAGAACUGCAUUGUGGGUGCUAGCAAAAAAGCUACUAGUGAAGGAGCAGCAGCAGAAGAUAGCAUUAGAAAGGAGAAAUAAACAAGAGGUAAAAAAGCUGUUUUAAUUUGAU
rnacentral:lncRNA from 1 species